CAGCAGCCGCGGUAAUACGUAGGGUGCAAGCGUUAAUCGGAAUUACUGGGCGUAAAGCGUGCGCAGGCGGUUUGUUAAGACAGAUGUGAAAUCCCCGGGCUCAACCUGGGAACUGCAUUUGUGACUGGCAAGCUAGAGUGUGGCAGAGGGGGGUGGAAUUCCGCGUGUAGCAGUGAAAUGCGUAGAUAUGCGGAGGAACACCGAUGGCGAAGGCAGCCCCCUGGGCCAACACUGACGCUCAUGCACGAAAGCGUGGGGAGCAAACGGGAUUAGAUACCCGGGUAGUCCCUGUCUCUUAUAC
rnacentral:rRNA from 1 species